ensembl:lncRNA
CUCAGGUGUUGUUCCACCCAGGUUCCUUUAGGUGUGGGUUUCCGCCCACCUCCCCAGGGGAAUUUUGGGAGGGUAAAUAACCGGUUCUGUCUUCAUUCCUGUGAACCUUUUACCUGUUUUCCAGGGAGACACCGGACCUGUAACACUAACCACUAAGCCGCUGUGCAGCCCUACCAAGAAAAUCAUUGUAUUUGCAGCAAAUUUGCUCCAAACAGUGACCUGCAGUAAACCUGCCAUCAGUUUUCCACAAAGUUUGAGGUCUAGUCCACCAGAAUUCCAGGGCAAGUUUGCCACAGAUGUA